rnacentral:tRNA from 1 species
GCAUUGGUGGUUCUGUGGUAGAAUUCUCACCUGCCACGCGAGAGACCUGGCAUCGAUUCCCAGCUAUUACA